GUGCUCCGCGCUCGCGUAGUCUCUAACGAUUCUUCCGCGUAGCCCUCAAUGAUUCCCCCGCCCCACGUUCCGCGCUCGCGUAACUUCUAACGAUUCUUACGCGUACCCCUUAAUGUUCUUCCGCUCCGCGCUCCACUGUGGAGCGGCUUCUGAUAUUCUUCCGCCCCGAACUUUCCCCUAUAAGAACCCCCUUCGUACGACCUUUUCUUCUGAUUUCUUUUCUCUUUCUUUCCUUAAUCAAUUCGUAAUCUGUAAUUAGGAUAGUACCAAAUCGUUAAUCGAAGUACGCCCGUUACAGAUAUAUUGUAUAUCUGUACAUGUAUCAGAGC
rnacentral:sRNA from 1 species